rnacentral:rRNA from 1 species
AAUCCAUAGGUUAAUGAGGCGAACCGGGGGAACUGAAACAUCUAAGUACCCCGAGGAAAAGAAAUCAACCGAGAUUCCCCCAGUAGCGGCGAGCGAACGGGGAGGAGCCCAGAGCCUGAAUCAGCAUGUGUGUUAGUGGAAGCGUCUGGAAAGGCGCGCGAUACAGGGUGACAGCCCCGUACACAAAAGCGCAUGUGCUGUGAGCUCGAUGAGUAGGGCGGGACACGUGGUAUCCUGUCUGAAUAUGGGGGGACCAUCCUCCAAGGCUAAAUACUCCUGACUGACCGAUAGUGAACCAGUACCGUGAGGGAAAGGCGAAAAGAACCCCGGCGAGGGGAGUGAAAAAGAACCUGAAACCGUGUACGUACAAGCAGUGGGAGCACCCUUUGGGUGUGACUGCGUACCUUUUGUAUAAUGGGUCAGCGACUUAUAUUCUGUAGCAAGGUUAACCGAAUAGGGGAGCCGGAGGGAAACCGAGUCUUAACCGGGCGUUAAGUUGCAGGGUAUAGACCCGAAACCCGGUGAUCUAGCCAUGGGCAGGUUGAA